UGAAACCACAGAGCCUCGGAUUAUUGU
rnacentral:sRNA from 1 species